AUAGCAACACACAGACCUCCACUGACAGAUGGCUGGUGGCUGUGCAUGAGGUCCAUUGGCUGGAAUCGAACCGGGUCUCCCUCAUGGAAGGCGAGAUUCCUACAGCUGAACAACUGCUGCCCUCAUUAUGAAUGAAUUAGAGUGUCUCUUUUCUUGGGACAGAAAAUGGCCAGGAUCAUACAAAUGACAGAGGGUGUUUUCCUCAUUUUAUUGGAACUCAGCCCCAUUCAGAUCUGUUUCUGGAUACCUCCUUGGCCCUCCCUAGCAGAGACCCAAACAAGGGUCAUGGGGCACAUCCUUGACAGAUGUCAAAUCUUACUCUCUUCUCUUGGGCUCUGGGACUUGAGACAGGAAGUCGGAGGGAAAGGGGAGGGACUUCUCUGCUCCUUGGCCUGGCCUCCUAUGGGGCUCUGGACAGCUGGGUGGUCAGUUCCACUUUGCCCAUCCCAUUCUGUUCCUCCAGUGUCUUCAGUCACUGCACGUGCUUCUCGUUGUUUCAAGUCCUACUUCCUCAGUGGCCAGACCAUGUAACAGGGAGUUAUGAGUUUAGGAGAAAGCAGCUCCAUAGGGCAGGCUCUCACCCCACCCUGGUUACCAUGAAGAUAAGGAUGUGUCAGCUGGUGUCAGCUGGUCACAGCCUCCAGGGGUGCAGCAGGAUUCGAAGUCCUAGAGAUUAUGUGAAGUCUGGAGCCUCACCUCUGGCAGCUCAGCCUCAAGAUCUUCCUGACUCACCGCCAUGUCUGAGUCUCCAUAGCCCCUGGAGUUUGGACUGUGUUCUUUGGCAUUUAUUGAGACUUGGUCUUGAGUGUUUUUCAGACUUCUUCCUGAAUAUCUGUGCGUGUGUACAUGCAUGCGUGUGAGAGAGGCAUAUGCAGACAGACAGAACGGGAAAGAGUGACACAGGGAGACAGAAGAAUAUACUACCUGUAAGAGAUCCUCUGAGGCCAGAAACUUUCAGCCCCUCAAACUGGGGCUCCCUGAAGGGAGAGCUGUGUCUCCCCGCUCCCCGUCAGACUGGGACUGCCUAUAGGCAGGGCUGUGUCUCCUCCUCAGAGUGGGACUCCCACAGGGCAGGGCUGUGUCUCCCCCUUAGACUGGGGCUCCCUGAAGGCAGGGCUGUUUUGCCUCAGACUGGGGCCCCCUGGGCACAAGGCUGUGUCUCCCCCUCAGACUGGGGCUACCUGAGGGCAAGGUUGUCUCCCCUUCAGACUGGGGCUCCCUGAGAGUAGGGCUGUGACUCCCCCUCAGAUGGAGGCUCCCUGAGGGCAGGGUUGUAUCUCCCCUCAGACUGGGACUGCCUAGGGGCAGGGCUAUGUCUCCCCCCUCAGACUGGGGCUUUCUUAGGGCAUGGCCAUGUCUCCCUCUCAUACUGGGGCUCCUUGAGGGCAGGGCUGUCUCCCCGUCAGACUGUGGCUCCCUGAGGCAGAGGGCAGGGGCUGUAUUCCCCUUUCCCCUCAGGCUGGGGGUCCCUGAGAAGCUGAUCUAUCUAGGAAUGAAGAAUACUUUCAAACCACAAAAAGGAGCUCUGGUGUGGCAGUGGCGAAGUCCUGGGCUGCUAACCGAAAGGCCUAUGGUUCAGCUGUGCUGGAGAAAGAUGUGAUGAUCUGCUUCUGUAAAGAUUCAUGGUCUUGAAAAUCCUAUGGGGCAGUUCUAUUCUGUCCUAUAGGGUUGCUAUGAGUCGGAAUCGACUCAAUGGCGAUGGGGGUUUUUUUUUUUUAAUAAGUACUCUAUAUGUACACUACGUGUGACGAGUCCAAGCACUUCCCCUAAGUCUUCAGGGGCUUCUAUAAAAAUGCCCAGGGAAUAACACCCCAGUUCUCUGCUGGAGUUCUGGGAGUUCCAGCUUGGGGUUCCUGGUUAACACACAUAGUUCAGAUGGACUUGCAGGCCUGGGACUCCCCGUGGGACUGCCCAGCCCGCCAGCUGCCUCCUAGCCCUUCCUCUUAUUCACGUGGUUCUUUUCCUCCCCUUGCUGUGGGGCAGAGGGGGUUGGAGUCUGGAACCUGCAGACCAAGGCAAUCACUGACAGAAUAGUCCUCCUUGGCCCCCACAUCAGCCAACCGGAUUCACAGGCCCGGGGAAUGGGCUGAGGGGCAGCUUGCUCAGGACUGGACUCAAGCAGGACCUCUGGUUUCCUCCUUUCUUGCUUGGCCACCCAUGGGAAUAACAGCUGGCUCACUGCUCACUCCUUGGCACCACCUGGAUCCAGAAGGGCAGGCCCCUUCUCGCCUGUCAUGACACCGCCUUGGAGAAGGAAGUGGGGGAGAGGUCCAGGAGCCAGGAAAGAUAAGGAAGAGAAGGACCAGGAGUAGGAAGAAAACAGGGGAAGAUCAGGAGGCAGCCCCUGUUGGGUAUCAGCAGUAGCCCGAAGAACUGUGAAGAUGCAGCAGCAAAGGCUGGAAAGUGAGUGUGCAAGUUCUUAAGUGUUAUUUCAAGAUGAAAAACACUCAUGGAGAUCUGCAAAGGGCUCGCCAACAAACAUCAUACCACAAACGACUGAAAUUAUUUCCGACUGCCUUAUAAAAUGAAAUGGCAAUAACUAAGUGGAGCACAAAAACGAAAGCUCACAGGAGAUAAAAAGAAAAGGAUUUGUGGAUCCCUAAAGGUGGAUUUAGCGACUGGCACAACUCAAAUAUGAUAAACAUGAAAACAGCUCAAUUCACAGAGGUGGUAUGUUGCCGUAUUUAAACUGAAGACAUGGUUUCGACUUAACUCGUGAACUGGAAACACAAAUUAAUGAAGAACAGUAUUGGAAAGUCAUUUUCUCAUACAGAUCAGCUAAGUAUUGUUUUAAGAUACAGAUCUCCAUCAGAUGGAUGAACGGUUUAUCACAUUUACUAAUUUAAAAAGUCAUACCAAUGAAGAAAUUGCAAAUAAAAUACUUCACUAUGUGAAGUUUGCAAAAUUGAUUUUUGUAAGUGCAGAGGCCAGUCCUACGACAAUGCUGCCAACAUGCCAGGGUGCUAUAAAGGCGUGCAACAGAAAAUUUUAUAAUGUAGUAAAUAUGCCAUUUUCAUACCAUGGGCUGUGCAUUCCCUUAAUUUUGGAGGAUGUAGCGCAGUAGAUUGUUGUCUGGAAGCAGAUGAUUUUUUUCUACUGUUCAGUUACUCUACACAUUUUUUAUCACCUUUAUUCACCUACGGGCAGUUCUUAAAACAUAGGCAAUGAUCGAGUAUUAAACACCUUUUUAACACAUGUUGGGAAGUGCAUGCUGUAGCAAUGAGUGUAAUCCUGGAAUCGUACACUCAAAUUCUAGAUGCCUUAGAAAAUAUUGCUGAAGACUAGACACAAAAAGGAAACACCAAAAGAGAAGCUGAAAACAUCGCCAAAAAAUGUGAACACUAGAGUAGGCAUUUAUGUUGGUUAUGUGGGAUAAUAUAUUGCAGCAUUUUCAUCGGAUGAGUCAAGCUUUCCAAGAGUCAGAAGUAAAUUUAAAGACAUGCACAGAUCUCUACCAGUCAUCAACAGGGUAUUUACAUAAUUAAAGAGAAAAUUUUGAAAACACAACAAAACAAAUACUGCCAAAUACUGAUUAUCAAGCAGCCUGCCUUCAUAGGAGCAUUAGAAAGAAACAAGUAAAUAAUGGAAGUGCUCCAGAAGUAUUGCGUGCCGGAGAUCAUUUUUGGGUAACCACAUUCUGCACCACCACUGAUGCACUUGAAUCUUGCAUGUAAAGAAGGGCAAAAGUGUAGGAAGUUCUUUCAAAUAGAUUUUCCUUCUUAAACAAUGUGGAUAUACCUGAUGAAGAAGGCAUGAAGGCAUCCCAGAAAUCAGUGCAGGCUUAUCUCAAUGACUUAAAUACAAACCUUUACAGAGAAGUACGAUAAUUUCAUUUUUACGUGAGAACUAAGACUACAGAUUCAGCAAAGACAUAUUUUAUUCACUUAGUUAUGUAUGAAUCCAUAAAAGAAGACAAAAUACAAUGCGUGUUUCCCAGUGUUGAAAUUGCUUUACACAUAUUCCUGACUUUAAUGAUCACAAAACUGCACAACAGAACGCUCAUUUUCGUUCCUCAAGAGACUCAAAAACCCUCAGUGUACAACAAGGAUUCAAGAAAGACUCGAUUCAUUGUCCUUAUUAUGUGUGGAAGUAGAUAUUUUUUGGCAGCUUAUUGUGAUGAAAUCAUUGAAGAAUUUGCAAGUGCAAAGAAUAGAAGGAAGUGUUUUAAAUUAUAACAUGUUAGAGGUGAAAGAUUUUUCUGAAAAAAAAUUAAAUUUUUCUGAAAAUAAAAUAUUAAAUUUUCUUUUAUGACAUUUUUCAAUUUGUUCGUUUAUAAUUAUAGUAUUUAUAACCAAACAAGCAUCAAAACUGCAUUAUGAGCCAUUUAAAGGAAAAUUGGUGACAGUUAAUUUUUCGUGGUGGGAGAUCAUCAGAAUUUUACAUUGACUGUAGAAACAACUAAGCUCACUGACUCUUUUUCUUUAUUGUAGAAUAGGUGGAAUAUUCUUUUUGUAGAAAAUGGGGUAUAUAGUAAAAACCUUAGUACCCUGCAGCCACUAAAAAUUUUAUAAUCCAAUUUAUCUCAUUCAGCUAAAAUGGCAUACGCCAUUUUGGUGUUCAAUCGCUGAUACUAUAGUCACAUUUAAAAAGAAGGUACAUCGUGGAUAGCUAACACACGCACACACAUAUAUACAUGUGUAUAUAUAACUCAGAAAUCCUGGUGGCAUAGUGGUUAUAGAGCUACAGUUGCUAAGCAAAAGGCCGGCAGUUCGAAUCCACCAGGUGCUCCUUGGAAUCACUAUGGGGGCAGUUCUACUCUGUCCUUUAGGGUUGCUAUGAGUCCGAAUUGACCCGACAGCAAUGGAUUUGGUUUUUGGUUUUAUAUAUAACUCACACAUCCUGCUUGAAUGCAUGAAUAAGCAGAGGAGGGAGCACCACAAAUUAUCAGUGUUCAGGGCCCUCACAUGCCUUAAUCUGACUCUGAUGUCACUAGUGCCCUAAAAAUGGCCAUUUCUAAGCAGCUCCUUUUAAUGCAUUGAGUCUUUCAAAUCUAUUUAAAAUGCAAAAUGGACAUAGUUAUCGUUUAAGCUUCUAGUAUGCUCUCCAAAACGGCUUCCAUUCCAGGCUCUAGAAUAUGUGUUUUUAACUCGAUAUCAAGGGAUGCCUUCAGGGCAGCCCAUGAAUCCUUUGAAGCCGUUAGCCAAAGUGUAUGAGCAUUUGAGUAUGGGCAUCUUUUCUGGGGUGAUAAUCCAUAGCCUU